rnacentral:lncRNA from 12 species
CCCCUUGUCACCCACACCAUUCAAACAUCUCACUACUUGACAAUUGCCUCAUUAUGUGGGAACUUCACUGGGCACAAAUUCUGAUUAAAUCUAUCAACGUAGUCUGACUCUGUGCUCAGACCAAAUGCAUCACAGAGAUGAGGUAAUAUCAUAUCAUUUGGUAACUUUUUAUGAAUAGUUCAUGCAUGCUAGACUAAAACUUUUAAAAACAUUUGGCUGAUCAUUAAAGGAAAAGAGCACAGGAAUGAUGAUACUCUGAACAUUCUCUCCAAUAUUCCCGAAAUGCCAACCUCCUCUUGUGGGGUAUUCAUACUCAUACUGUGUUCCUUCAGUGAAUACCAGGAAAGUCCUAGCUAUGCACAGGUCCAGUAACAGGUGCUGGAGGGCAGAGGUAAGGAUGGUCCUCACCCCAAGCUGCUUAAAGAGUAAGAGAGGAGGUAGUAGACAUCAUCACCAUUAACUGGGCAAGUCCUUUUGCAUGAGGUACAGGACCCAGUGGCUGGGGAGCAGACCACAGAGCAGCACUCCAACCAGGGCUGCGUGGCAAACUUCCUGGAGGCAGUGACAUUCAAGAUGGAUUUUAACUCAAGCAUUUCUUCACUCCAUUCUCCAUUCAGUCAUUUAUUGAAUGAGUCUCUCAUCAGCUGCUUCACAGCUGCUCCUUAAGAAGCCAUCUGAUCAGAUCCUCAAUCUCCAGCACCAAAAGGACCUUUGCUUUUACUGUUCAAAACCUUGGAAUCCCAGAGUUUGACAUGGAAUGAAGAAGAUGUAGGUCAGAUCAAAUUAAGAAAGGAAGGAAAACCACAGCUUCCCCAGCUCACUGUCUCAUUUUCAGGGAGCUGGACUUUGUCGCUGACCUCAUGCAGAUGGAUGGGAAUAUCGGGAGCCAAAUUUAAUACGCCCACUGUCUGCAGAUAUUUUUCAGAUGCUUCUGUCUGGCAUGGUUUGGAUCAUACACAAUGCCUCUGAUUCGCUUCCAGGUGAUGGAGGUAAUAAUGAACAUCUGAGCACUAAGCCUGUGGUGCCUCACUGGACCUAGAACUCAGGGAAUGUGUUUACUAAGCAACUCAACACCACUUGGGGCUUGGACAAUG